UACAACAUAGCGUUACUGCACCGGAUCCCAUUAGAACUUCGCAGUUAAGUGCACUCAGGCUAGAGUAGUAGUGGGAUGGGUGACCACCCAAGAAGUCUUAUUGUUUUAC
rnacentral:rRNA from 1 species